rnacentral:rRNA from 1 species
GCUACAAUGGCCAGUACAGAGGGCUGCGAGACCGUGAGGUGGAGCGAAUCCCUUAAAGCUGGUCUCAGUUCGGAUCGGGGUCUGCAACUCGACCCCGUGAAGUCGGAGUCGCUAGUAAUCGCAGAUCAGCAACGCUGCGGUGAAUACGUUCCCGGGCCUUGUACACACCGCCCGUCACGUCAUGAAAGUCGGUAACACCCGAAGCCGGUGGCUUAACCCCUUGUGGGAGGGAGCCGUCGAAGGUGGGAUCGGCGAUUGGGACGAAGUCGUAACAAGGUAGCCGUACCGGAAGGUGCGGCUGGAUCACCUCCUUUCUAAGGAG